rnacentral:rRNA from 1 species
CUGGGGUGAAGUCGUAACAAGGUAGCCGUAUCGAAAGGUGCGGCUGGAUCACCUCCUUUCUAAGGAGAAUU